GUUAAGCGAACAAGCGUACACGGUGGAUGCCCUGGCAGUCAGAGGCGAUGAAGGACGUGCUAAUCUGCGAAAAGCGCCGGUAAGGUGAUAUGAACCGUUAUAACCGGCGAUGUCCGAAUGGGGAAACCCGGUGCACUUCGGUGCAUCAUCGUUAGCUGAAUACAUAGGCUAACGAGGCGAACCGGGGGAACUGAAACAUCUAAGUACCCCGAGGAAAAGAAAUCAACCGAGAUUCCCCCAGUAGCGGCGAGCGAACGGGGAACAGCCCAGAGCCUGAAUCAGCUUGUGUGUCAGUGGAACGGUCUGGAAAGGCCGGCGAUACAGGGUGACAGCCCCGUACACGAAGGCACACAGGCUGUGAGCUCGAUGAGUAGGGCGGGACACGUGAUAUCCUGUCUGAAGAUGGGGGGACCAUCCUCCAAGGCUAAAUACUCCUGACUGACCGAUAGUGAACCAGUACCGUGAGGGAAAGGCGAAAAGAACCCCGGCGAGGGGAGUGAAACAGAACCUGAAACCGUGUACGUACAAGCAGUGGGAGCCUUCGUAAGAGGGUGACUGCGUACCUUUUGUAUAAUGGGUCAGCGACUUAUAUUCUGUAGCAAGGUUAACCGUAUAGGGGAGCCGAAGGGAAACCGAGUCUUAACCGGGCGUUAAGUUGCAGGGUAUAGACCCGAAACCCGGUGAUCUAGCCAUGGGCAGGUUGAAGGUUGGGUAACACUAACUGGAGGACCGAACCGACUAAUGUUGAAAAAUUAGCGGAUGACCUGUGGCUGGGGGUGAAAGGCCAAUCAAACCGGGAGAUAGCUGGUUCUCCCCGAAAGCUAUUUAGGUAGCGCCUCGUGAACUCAUCUCCGGGGGUAGAGCACUGUUUCGGCUAGGGGGCCAUCCCGGCUUACCAACCCGAUGCAAACUGCGAAUACCGGAGAAUGUUAUCACGGGAGACACACGGCGGGUGCUAACGUCCGUCGUGAAGAGGGAAACAACCCAGACCGCCAGCUAAGGUCCCAAAGUCAUGGUUAAGUGGGAAACGAUGUGGGAAGGCCCAGACAGCCAGGAUGUUGGCUUAGAAGCAGCCAUCAUUUAAAGAAAGCGUAAUAGCUCACUGGUCGAGUCGGCCUGCGCGGAAGAUGUAACGGGGCUAAACCAUGCACCGAAGCUGCGGCAGCGACACGUAUGUGUUGUUGGGUAGGGGAGCGUUCUGUAAGCCUGUGAAGGUGUGCUGUGAGGCAUGCUGGAGGUAUCAGAAGUGCGAAUGCUGACAUAAGUAACGAUAAAGCGGGUGAAAAGCCCGCUCGCCGGAAGACCAAGGGUUCCUGUCCAACGUUAAUCGGGGCAGGGUGAGUCGACCCCUAAGGCGAGGCCGAAAGGCGUAGUCGAUGGGAAACAGGUUAAUAUUCCUGUACUUGGUGUUACUGCGAAGGGGGGACGGAGAAGGCUAUGUCGGCCGGGCGACGGUUGUCCCGGUUUAAGCGUGUAGGCUGACUUUCCAGGCAAAUCCGGAAGGUUAAGGCUGAGGCGUGAUGACGAGGCACCACGGUGCUGAAGUGACAAAUGCCCUGCUUCCAGGAAAAGCCUCUAAGCAUCAGGUAACAUCAAAUCGUACCCCAAACCGACACAGGUGGUCAGGUAGAGAAUACCAAGGCGCUUGAGAGAACUCGGGUGAAGGAACUAGGCAAAAUGGUGCCGUAACUUCGGGAGAAGGCACGCUGACAUGUAGGUGAAGCCCCUGCGGGUGGAGCUGAAGUCAGUCGAAGAUACCAGCUGGCUGCAACUGUUUAUUAAAAACACAGCACUGUGCAAACACGAAAGUGGACGUAUACGGUGUGACGCCUGCCCGGUGCCGGAAGGUUAAUUGAUGGGGUUAUCGCAAGAGAAGCUCCUGAUCGAAGCCCCGGUAAACGGCGGCCGUAACUAUAACGGUCCUAAGGUAGCGAAAUUCCUUGUCGGGUAAGUUCCGACCUGCACGAAUGGCGUAAUGAUGGCCAGGCUGUCUCCACCCGAGACUCAGUGAAAUUGAACUCGCUGUGAAGAUGCAGUGUACCCGCGGCAAGACGGAAAGACCCCGUGAACCUUUACUACAGCUUGACACUGAACAUUGAGCCUUGAUGUGUAGGAUAGGUGGGAGGCUUUGAAGCGUGGACGCCAGUCUGCGUGGAGCCGACCUUGAAAUACCACCCUUUAAUGUUUGAUGUUCUAACCUGGCGCCGUGAUCCGGCGUGGGGACAGUGUCUGGUGGGUAGUUUGACUGGGGCGGUCUCCUCCCAAAGUGUAACGGAGGAGCACGAAGGUCAGCUAAUCCUGGUCGGACAUCAGGAGGUUAGUGCAAUGGCAUAAGCUGGCUUGACUGCGAGAGUGACGGCUCGAGCAGGUGCGAAAGCAGGUCAUAGUGAUCCGGUGGUUCUGUAUGGAAGGGCCAUCGCUCAACGGAUAAAAGGUACUCCGGGGAUAACAGGCUGAUACCGCCCAAGAGUUCAUAUCGACGGCGGUGUUUGGCACCUCGAUGUCGGCUCAUCACAUCCUGGGGCUGAAGUAGGUCCCAAGGGUAUGGCUGUUCGCCAUUUAAAGUGGUACGCGAGCUGGGUUUAGAACGUCGUGAGACAGUUCGGUCCCUAUCUGCCGUGGGCGCUGGAGAAUUGAGGGGGGCUGCUCCCAGUACGAGAGGACCGGAGUGGACGCAUCACUGGUGUUCGGGUUGUCAUGCCAAUGGCACUGCCCGGUAGCUAAAUGCGGAAGAGAUAAGUGCUGAAAGCAUCUAAGCACGAAACUUGCCCCGAGAUGAGUUCUCCCUGAGACUGUAAGUCUCCUGAAGGAACGUUGAAGACGACGACGUUGAUAGGCCGGGUGUGUAAGCGCAGCGAUGCGUUGAGCUAACCGGUACUAAUGAACCGUGAGGCUUAACC
rnacentral:rRNA from 1 species